UACGGGGGGUGCGAGCGUUGUCCGGAAUUAUUGGGCGUAAAGGGCUCGUAGGCGGUUCGUCACGUCGGGAGUGAAAACUCGGGGCUUAACCCCGAGCCUGCUUCCGAUACGGGCAGACUAGAGGUAGGCAGGGGAGAGCGGAACUCCUGGUGUAGCGGUGGAAUGCGCAGAUAUCAGGAAGAACACCGGUGGCGAAGGCGGCUCUCUGGGCCUUACCUGACGCUGAGGAGCGAAAGCGUGGGUAGCGAACAGG
rnacentral:rRNA from 1 species